GCAGGGACAGUCAUAGAAUUUAGUUCUCUCUCGCGCCGGUUUUGUCUUUAAGUUUUUUCUUUUUUACAGUGUCCGUGUCCUUGUCCUUUCCCUCUUAGAAGGCAGGGUGACAUUAUUGUUAAUUGUCUUUUUCGACUAAAUCGAGGGGAGGUUCCCAUUUCGUACCUAUCUUUUCGUUUAAUCGUCCUCCUCUUUCAUUCACCCUUUUAAAAAAAAAUCUCUGCAAUGGCGGAUGGGGGCUCUGAUUCAGAAAUUUCAGUGGAGGCGCCAGGUAGAGAUCAGUGGACUGGAAGCGAGAAUUCAGCAACUCCUCAACUACCUUUCGAUCCACUUGUGGCCAUAGACGAGGAUCGCAAUCCUACUGAGAAUAAUGGCGAACCGCUGGCAAAAAAGGCAAGAUUGGACGGGCCGCUUAAAUUCAACGUUUCAAAGAAUCGUGGGGCCCAGUUGAAAAUGUUGUUGUGUAAUGGGGUCGAGAAGGAAAAGAACAAAGAGAUGGGGGUCGUUUCCUGCCUGUGUUCCAAAUCUGGACGACGCCAUUUACCAACGUUCGAUGGCAGUAAAAAAUUCAAAGGCUAGUAAAGAGUCAAUUGAUUCGCAUGAGAAGGAUCUUUACAAGAUUAAACGAAAGGUGCUCGACGCGGUGAAGCCCAUUUUAUUUUUGGCCAACGAGAAGCUGGUGGACGAUGCCCACCACGAGGCGGUGAAGACAGCGCUAUCCCUCUUAGGUGAAGCCUAUCAUUCACUAACCGAUGCACGUCACCACACCAUCCUUCGACAGACAAGCUUUCUUUCACUUUCAUGCUGAGCAAUGAUUCCAAUUUCAACCCCGACGAAGCGGAAGAUCUCUUCGGAAAGUCCUUUGUCAAGGAGAUGGUAAGAUCAUCCGAUACUGUGAAGAAAAUGGUCAGUUUGGGCCAACCUGACCGCGCUGGCGGUAGUAAUCGCUCGACGGAGCAACUUGAGCAAAGGGCUGCUGGAACACCUGGAUCAAAUUUCUACCGGGAGGCUGCUGGUCCAGUUUACGGAGAUCGAAGCAACUUUUAUGAUACUGACUCGCAGAGAGGUCGCGUCGGAUUCAGCAGUGGUCGAUCCAGCCCCUAUCAGGGCCGUGCCAACCACAAUUUCAACGGCCGCGGCGGGUAUGUACAGUAUGUUGCAGAGAAAUCUGUCAAAUAAGGCCAUAGGAUUUUUAUGUUUUAUUUUCAGCAUAUUGUCCGCAAGAUGGCUUGUUUUGACAGCGACGUUUUCCGCAAGCAUAGUUCUGCAGAAUCCUACCUACUGCAGCAGACGGUUUUAGCCGAAUGUCAAUUGUCAAAUUGAAAACGUAAAACGUCAAAAAUAAAUGUUGUGCCAAGGUGUUCUUGUUAAAAGAAAUUGUUAGAUAGCAAUACACUGUGAAAAGGUAAAUGUGUAAAACUUUUAAAUUAAAAUUUUAUCUUUAUAGGAGCUGUAGAAAAUAGGGAAUAUAAAAACAUCAUUAUCAAGCCUCCGUGGAGUUUGCGUUUUCUGGUAUAUUAAUAAAAGGAAAUGUCUAUCCACAAAAAAAUCCUCAACAGUGUAAAGAUCUGCAGUGAUGCAAUAAUAUAUACACCAGUUAAAGCGGAGGGGUGCUUUAAUGUAACUACAACCUCAGGUAAUGAAAUAAGAUAGAAUUUAAGCUACAGUUGCUAAUUUUUUUUUGUAGGAAGUUUAAUCGUUAAAUGUUUUACAUCUACAAGUGUGUGUUCUAAUACUUUUUUCUGUUGGCACGAUUAACAUUUUUUAUUAAAAACAGGCUUUGAAUGUGUAUCGAAUAGUGUAAUUAAUGCAAAUACACCUAGUUGAUUUUCAGA
rnacentral:lncRNA from 1 species